GAGGGCCCCCGGGCGGAUGGCGGUCACACUUUCCAGUGCUGAGGGGGAGCAAAUUGUGAAAGCCCUAUAACUGAGCUAGUGAGUGGACAUCACUUCACACAAUGCCUGGCACGCGGCUUCUGGACCGUUCGCCGUUAUCCCUCCCAUGGAAUGAAAGCAGUUCCUGCCUGGGGUCUCCAAGUCACCCACAAGAGAGAUUAAAUUCUGCAUUUCUGCCUGGCCUGGGGCCCCCCCACCACCUCCUACCACUGAGGAAUUUUCUCAUCUGUAAAAGGGACGUGAAAAGAAAGGAAGGAAGAAAGAAAGAGACUUGCAUGGAAGUUCACUUCCGGGACAAAGCGAGGUGGUGGUGUGAAGGAUGCUGGGUAAGCGGCGAACCCCACCGGGGCUGAUGUGGGUGUCACUGAUGAUUGUUGCUGGGCUACGUUCCAUGAGACCACUAACGUCAGAUCAUAUGCCAUCUCCAAACAUGGUAAUUUUGAUAUGCUUCAGCCUUACUUCUUGCUGAGGUUUUUCCCAGCUCGCCAUCCAUGUGGCACAAUAUGUUAAUCAAGUUUUCCAAACAGACGCUAGAAUACGUUGUCGAACGUAAGGACUGAUCUUUGCGUAGUGUGUUAAGAAAAACAAGACAAAAGAAACCACCCCAAACGGGAAGACUGGUGUUUGUCAAAGUGUAGAGUGUGUGGGCACCCAUUCUGUGGGCGCCACAGAUCAUUCCGGGGGGUCAUCGGACCCGACGUUAAAUAACUGCACAUCUUGUGGUGGAAAACUAAUCUGUCUCCAGUUCUCUCCCGUUCCCCUGCGGGCUCCCAGGCGAGAGUCUCAGCGUGGUGUCCUCGGUCUUUGACUCUUGCCGACCUCCCGUUUCAACCAGAAGGAGCAGGCCUCAGGCUUAUCUCAUUUUUAUCGCUGAUUAUGGAAAGUCAUGCCAGCUCUCUGUUGGUGGGGUUAGAAGAUCUUAUUGGAAAAGUUAUUUAUUUCGGUAAGCAAAGCAGUGUGGUUUAAAUGAAAGUUUUAAGUCAGUAAUUGUAGAUAUUGCCCCGAAUGGUGAGGGUGAUACGAACCUUGUGAUGUUGGGAGACACGGUCCCAACUGAAGGUGUGCGUGUGAGUUGUGUGUGGGAAUCACGCAGCCGGUAAGUUUGCUUUUCUAACCAUAGAGGGAGUCCCUGUGAUGCAGCUGUUUAUGAACCAAGGUAAAUCAUUUUGAACAGCAAACAGCAGUGCACAAUUAAAAUCCCUCAGCAAUUAAAGGGCAACUCUGUCACCUGUUAUGAAACACCCACAGGAAUUAAUAAAGCAGCAAGGAGGUUAUUUUAGAAAGGCGUCAAAACUAUACCAACAGCCCCAAACCUAAGCGAAUUUUCUCUCCUCUUUGGGGAGGUGGUGGCCAGCCAGAUGACCUUCACUCGAUUUUAUCAAGUUUUGUUUAUUUUUGAGAGAGAGAACAUGAGUUGGGGAGAGGCAGAGAGAGAGGGAGACACAGAAUCCGAAGCAGGCUCCAGGCUCUGAGCUGUCAGCACAGAGCCCGAUGUGGGGCUCAAACUCACUUGCCGUGAGAUCAUGACCUGAGCAGAAGUUGUACACUUCACCAACUGAGCCUCCCAGACGCCCCAACCUUCACUUGAUUUUAUACUAAGCUAGUGAGGCUAGCCUUGUCUUUGGCAGCCACAUCUAAUGAAGACAGUGUGCGGAGAAGAGAUAGGUGUCUCGAAUCCAUUCUUAACUGGAGAAUCGGAAUUAAAUUGGCCAUGCAUAGGAUGCUUGCUGAAAUCUCAUAAUUGCAGGCAGAAGGGUGGGAAAGGCACUGAGAAAUCGAUACCGUAAAGCCUUCUUCAAGAGCUGUGCCCCUUUCAAAAAGAGGGGGUCCUUCCAUAAGACACAAGGCAGCUAGCCUAGACUUUGACGUAGCAUCGAUGAAUGGAGGUGAAGACAAGGCAGCCAGAUCGUUCUUGGGUGCAGAGACUAAUAAGACGUGACAACUAAGUAAAGUAUUUGAGCCUUGAUUGGAUUCUGGGUUAGUUAAGUAAUUAAUAGAGAAGAACAUUACUGGGUGUAUUGGGGAGACUUUCAUAUGGGCUGCAUCUCAGGUACUAAUAUCGUAUGACUUAAAUCUCACGGGCGUGCCAACGAUGUUACCGCACGGUGGUUGCAUUGGAGAAUGUAUUUGUUCUUAGGAAAUAUAUGCGGAAGUGUGUGAGGAUGAAAUGUCAUGGUGCCACCAAUUAUUUAGUUCAGCCAAAAAAAAAAAAAAAGAGAUAAGCAA